GACGAACGCUGGCGGCGUGCCUAAUACAUGCAAGUAGAACGCUGAAGGAGGAGCUUGCUUCUCUGGAUGAGUUGCGAACGGGUGAGUAACGCGUAGGUAACCUGCCUGGUAGCGGGGGAUAACUAUUGGAAACGAUAGCUAAUACCGCAUAACAGUAGAUAUCGCAUGAUAUCUACUUGAAAGGUGCAAUUGCAUCACUACCAGAUGGACCUGCGUUGUAUUAGCUAGUUGGUGAGGUAACGGCUCACCAAGGCGACGAUACAUAGCCGACCUGAGAGGGUGAUCGGCCACACUGGGACUGAGACACGGCCCAGACUCCUACGGGAGGCAGCAGUAGGGAAUCUUCGGCAAUGGACGGAAGUCUGACCGAGCAACGCCGCGUGAGUGAAGAAGGUUGUCGGAUCGUAAAGCUCUGUUGUAAGAGAAGAACGAGUGUGAGAGUGGAAAGUUCACACUGUGACGGUAGCUUACCAGAAAGGGACGGCUAACUACGUG
rnacentral:rRNA from 1 species